rnacentral:lncRNA from 1 species
AGAGGUUGAACGAAUUUGCAGUCCAAAUGUGACGAGCUCCAUUGUAACACCGUCCAAUGAGUUUGCAAGUAUCUCAAAGUCCAUAGUUCCCGGAUGAAGUAUACAACCCUCAACCUUUUGAGCUACUAAUUGCCAUGGAACAAUUGCACUGUAACGUUCAACAACGGUAAGCAAACGAUUGCUAUAGUGUAUACUGCGGUUUGCUUUUUAUGAGGUCUUUUGAAUUUUUAGUUUAAGCUUUUUAUUGGCUUCAGGUGGGAUCAAUGCUGAAAUCAAUUUAUCAAUUAUCUCAAUCUCAAUGUCGCCAAAAGCCAACG